CCUGCCGGCAAUCAUAUGCUUGUAUUAAAGAUUAAGCCAUGCAUGUUUAAGUUUAAAUGAUUCGGAUAGUAAGACUGCGGACGGCUCAUUAAAUCAGUUAUAAUUCUAAAGGAAUAAAGGCGUGGAUAACCGUAGUAAUUCUAGGGCUAAUACAGGCAAAAGCCCCGUAUCUUAACCGGUACGGGGCGUUGGUACGAAGUGAACCCCUCGGGUAAAACCUUGGGGGAAUCCCCGUAACCUAACAGACCGCACGAACUUGAUUCGGCGGCAUAGCUUUCGAGCUUCUGACCUAUCAACUUGAUGCGAAAGAAUCGAUUUUUCAUGGUGAUAACGGGUAACGGGGAAUUAGGGUUCGGUUCCGGAGAGGGCGCCUGAGAAAUGGCGACUACUUCCAAGGAAGGCAGCAGGCGCGCAAAUUGCCCAAUCUCGAUUCGAGGAGGCAGUGACAAUAAAUAACGGUAGGGGUAGCUAAGCUAUCCCUAACCGGAAUGAGUAAAAUUUAAACGGGAUAACGAGGAACAAUUAGAGGGCAAGUCUGGUGCCAGCAGCCGCGGUAAUUCCAGCUCUAAUAGCGUAUAUUAAAGUUGUUGUGGUUAAAAAGCUCGUAGUUUAAACCAUAAGCCGGUUCCCCGGCUGUACGUAAGUCUACCGGGGGAUCGGCUAUUAAAUUAUGAUUAACAAGGGAGCCACUUAGCUGGGGUUUCCCGAUAUUUUCAACGGAUACCUUGAGAAAAAUAGAGUGAUUAAAGCAGGCGGCUUGUUCGAAUAAAUUAGCAUGGAAUAUCGAAAUACGCCCCGGAUGGGUUUGAGGGGACUUAACCGGGGAAUGAUGAAUAGAGAUGAUCGGGGAUACUGGUAUUCAUUCGAUAGAGGUGAAAUUCUGUGACCGAGUAAAGACCAACAAAUGCGAAGGCAUCUAUCAAGGGUGUUUUCAUUGAUCAAGAACGAAAGUUAGGGGAUCGAAGACGAUCAGAUACCGUCGUAGUCUUAACCGUAAACGAUAAUGUCCCGGGAUGAAGUGCGAUAAUUAUCAACCAAUUCUCCUCGAACCGUGCGCGAAAGCAGAGCGUUUGAUUUCCGGGGGGAGUAUGGUCGCAAGGCUGAAACUUAAAGGAAUUGACGGAAG
rnacentral:rRNA from 1 species